UAUUAACUCAGGGAGUAAUAAGGACGAAUCUACCCCUCAGGAGAGAUAAGGAUGCUGUGUUUAGGCUUGAGUAAGGGAGUGAUAAGGUGUAAUUUGUAAAUAAUGUUAUUUGGAUGAGUCUUUGUGGUUGAGAUUCUUUGGGUGAUCCGUUCUCUUUCAAGUGAGGUUUUUCAUUAUUUUUCUCCACUUUUCUAGCAAACUUAGUUAUUAAUCUUUUAUUUAAGCUGAAUGUAUACUGAUAUUCUCAUUCAUGAAGUCUUC
rnacentral:lncRNA from 1 species